rfam:Oryza glumipatula chromosome 9, whole genome shotgun sequence.
UUUAAGUACAACGAUAAGUUUUUUUUUGGUCUAACUUUGAUCGUUCGUAUUAUUUAAAAAUUUUUUAUAAUUAGUAUUUUUGUUGUUAUGAGAUGAUAAAACAUGAAGAAUACUUUACUCAUUACUGACUUAUGUUUUUAAAUUUUUUUAAAAGUUUUUUUAAAUAAGACGAACGAUUAAAAUUAGGCGCAGAAAACCAUGACUACAAUUGAA